UCCCUGGUGAUCUAGUGGUCAGGAUUUGGCACUUUCACCGCCGUGGCCUGGGUUUGAUUCCCGGUCAGGGAA